GAUGAACGCUGGCGGCGUGCCUAAUACAUGCAAGUCGAACGGAGCUUCUUUCGGAUCUUCGGAGAAGAGAGAAUGUCUUAGUGGCGAACGGGUGAGUAACGCGUUGGUGACCUGCCCCAAAGAGGGGGAUAACAGUUCGAAAGGACUGCUAAUACCCCAUGUGGUCAUAGAAGUUAGAGGUUUUAUGACUAAAGGAGUAAUCCACUUUGGGACGGGGCCUGCGUCCCAUCAGCUAGUUGGUAGGGUAAAAGCCUACCAAGGCGAUGACGGGUAGGGGACCUGAGAGGGUGGCCCCCCACACUGGAACUGAAACACGGUCCAGACACCUACGGGUGGCAGCAGUAGGGAAUAUUGCUUAAUGGGCGAAAGCCUGAAGCAGCAACGCCGCGUGCACGAUGAAGGCCUUCGGGUUGUAAAGUGCUUUUUUGGAGGGAUGAGGAAGGACAGUACCUUCAGAAUAAGCCUCGGCUAACUACGUG
rnacentral:rRNA from 1 species